CUCACAUCAUCCCAAGAUGAAGAAGAGAAAUCACACCGUUCCCUACUGAACUCUCAUGCCAUUACUGGCGGCUUCAGAAAAAGCAUCUGUGACGCAAACAUGACAAAGCGGAAGUCCAGGAACUGGAAGGUUACAUCUAAGGGAUUAGAGAGCCUGGAAGGGGCUGGCACGUGUGCAGUGUCCUGACACGGACGGGCUGGGACCUCUUAGGAGGCCUGCGCCGAGGACGUGCUGUCAGAGUCGGGAACAGAGCUGGAAGGAGCUGGAGUGAAGGAGUGAAAAAGGACCAUACAAGGUGUGACAUCAUUGGAGGCCAGCUCUCCGCAAGAGGUUAUGCCAGAUGCCAGCCUAGAAGUUAUCAACAGGGUGAAGACGAGUGAGAAAAGGACGUCUGGAAGCAGGGACGCGGAUACUGACGUGCUGGACCACGUCCGUGACCCCUCACCAUAAUACUAGUUGAUGGAAGAGUUAAGGGGCCUGUGAUUGAUUACUGACAAGGACCUACUUGUGGACCAGCUGAUGCUUUGAUGCCAUUUAUAUGGUUAUCUCCUUCUUUUCCAGUGAAAAAUGCCAAGAUUAUUUUCCUUGUUAAUUUUCCCCCUAUGAUGGAUA